rnacentral:rRNA from 1 species
GCUCCCUGAGAUUAGCGGCGGACGGGUGAGUAACACGUGGGCAACCUGCCUAUAAGACUGGGAUAACUUCGGGAAACCGGAGCUAAUACCGGAUACGUUCUUUUCUCGCAUGAGAGAAGAUGGAAAGACGGUUUACGCUGUCACUUAUAGAUGGGCCCGCGGCGCAUUAGCUAGUUGGUGAGGUAAUGGCUCACCAAGGCGACGAUGCGUAGCCGACCUGAGAGGGUGAUCGGCCACACUGGGACUGAGACACGGCCCAGACUCCUACGGGAGGCAGCAGUAGGGAAUCUUCCGCAAUGGACGAAAGUCUGACGGAGCAACGCCGCGUGAACGAAGAAGGCCUUCGGGUCGUAAAGUUCUGUUGUUAGGGAAGAACAAGUACCAGAGUAACUGCUGGUACCUUGACGGUACCUAACCAGAAAGCCACGGCUAACUACGUGCCAGCAGCCGCGGUAAUACGUAGGUGGCAAGCGUUGUCCGGAAUUAUUGGGCGUAAAGCGCGCGCAGGUGGUUCCUUAAGUCUGAUGUGAAAGCCCACGGCUCAACCGUGGAGGGUCAUUGGAAACUGGGGAACUUGAGUGCAGAAGAGGAAAGUGGAAUUCCAAGUGUAGCGGUGAAAUGCGUAGAGAUUUGGAGGAACACCAGUGGCGAAGGCGACUUUCUGGUCUGUAACUGACACUGA